rnacentral:rRNA from 1 species
CGGAGGGGCUAGCGUUGUUCGGAAUUACUGGGCGUAAAGCGCACGUAGGCGGACUGGAAAGUUGGGGGUGAAAUCCCGGGGCUCAACCUCGGAACUGCCUUCAAAACUAUCAGUCUGGAGUUCGAGAGAGGUGAGUGGAAUUCCGAGUGUAGAGGUGAAAUUCGUAGAUAUUCGGAGGAACACCAGUGGCGAAGGCGGCUCACUGGCUCGAUACUGACGCUGAGGUGCGAAAGCGUGGGGAGCAAACAGGAUU